rnacentral:tRNA from 1 species
GCCGGGGUAGCCUAGCUGGUUAGGGCGCCAGACUCAUGAUCUGGAGAGCGUAAGGGGUCAGAACACACGCCCAGAAGUCGCGGGUUCGAAUCCCGCCCCCGGCA